AUGGGCAGACUACGGAAAGUCUCAGCCAAGGAUGUUCCGCAAGUUUCUUCAGUUGAGAGUCCUGAUUCUUCAAAAGAUCCUUUCAUGCCUAAUGAUUUCGCUGAUGAGAAUGUUAUGUCUUUGGUAGUUAUCUUUGUCUUCUUUGCAUUUUCAUUAUGUUUUUUCUAUUUUCAUUUUCAUAAGUGUUGUGCUUAUUGUCUGAAUUUUUCCUUUUUUCAGGAUUUCUCUGCUGAUGAUGCAGAGUUUGAUAAAGCACUUUACAAUUUCUAUGUGAAUAGUGUAAGUAAUUUUCUGAUCUAA
rnacentral:rRNA from 1 species